GACGAACGCUGGCGGCGUGCUUAACACAUGCAAGUCGAACGAAGAGCGAUGGAAGCUUGCUUCUAUCAAUCUUAGUGGCGAACGGGUGAGUAACGCGUAAUCAACCUGCCCUUCAGAGGGGGACAACAGUUGGAAACGACUGCUAAUACCGCAUACGAUCUAAUCUCGGCAUCGAGGAUAGAUGAAAGGUGGCCUCUACAUGUAAGCUAUCACUGAAGGAGGGGAUUGCGUCUGAUUAGCUAGUUGGAGGGGUAACGGCCCACCAAGGCGAUGAUCAGUAGCCGGUCUGGGAGGAUGAACGGCCACAUUGGGACUGAGACACGGCCCAGACUCCUACGGGGGGCAGCAGUGGGGAAUCUUCCGCAAUGGACGAAAGUCUGACGGAGCAACGCCGCGUGAGCGAUGACGGCCUUCGGGUUGUAAAGCUCUGUUAAUCGGGACGAAAGGCCUUCUUGCGAAUAGUGAGAAGGAUUGACGGUACCGGAAUAGAAAGCCACGGCUAACUACGUG
rnacentral:rRNA from 1 species